AAGUCGUAACAAGGUUUCCGUAGGUGAACCUGCGGAAGGAUCAUUAUUGAUUUUUAAAGAUGUGCUGGCACUCCUUCACCGGUUUGCAUGUGCACUCUGCAAAAUCUCCUUCUCUUACCCCACUGUGCACACCCAAGUAGACAAACAGUGUUGCAGAGCAAUCUGUGUAAUUCCUGAUUUGCCUACGUUUUUAUCAAACACCAAUAACAAUAUCAGAAUGAUCUAUACAGUAAGCUUUUAACAAGCUGAAAUUUAAUACAACUUUCAACAAUGGAUCUCUUGGUUCUC
rnacentral:misc_RNA from 1 species